rnacentral:rRNA from 1 species
GUAGGGAAUAUUGGGCAAUGGAUGCAAGUCUGACCCAGCCAUCCCGCGUGCCGGAAGAAGGCCCUCAGGGUUGUAAACGGCUUUUGACGGUGAAGAAUCGACAGGAUGCGUCCUGUUUUGACGGUAGCCGUUGAAUAAGCACCGGCUAACUCCGUGCCAGCAGCCGCGGUAAUAUGGAGGGUGCGAGCGUUGUCCGGAUUUAUUGGGUUUAAAGGGUGCGUAGGCUGGAAGGUCAGUCAGCGGUGAAAAGCUGUCGCUUAACGAUAGUCUUGCCGCAGAUACUUCCUUUCUUGGAUGAGGAGGAGGCCACUGGAACGGAUGGUGUAGCGGUGAAAUGCAUAGAUAUCAUCCAGAACACCGAUUGCGAAGGCAGGUGGCUGUACCUUAAUCGACGCUGAUGCACGAAAGCAUGGGGAGCAAACAGGAUUAGAAACCCCAGUAGUCC